CUUCUUUUUCUUUCUUUUUCUUUUCUUUUUGCUCUGUUCUGGGCUGAGGGGAAAACGAGGGAAACAGAACAUGAGGGAACGAGAGAGAGAGAGAGAGGUCGAAGAGGAAAAGCUCGACCGAGAAAGAGAGAGAGAUUCGGAGAUCGAACUGAAGCAUGGUCCCUUCUCAAUUUGUAUUCCUAUCUCUGUCCAAGGAGAGGUAACAGCAUGGGUUGCCCUUAGACUCGAGCCACGGGAUCGAGGAGACUGAAUUCUUGUACUUUGAAGGCUCGACCCAGUGAGCUAUCUUUCUUGGAGUUGUCGCCAUGGAGCACAAGUGGCCGCUGGACCCGGCGUAAUAGAAAGUGGGGCACAAGUGGCCGCUGGACCCGGCGGAAUAGGAAGUGGGGCACAAAUGGUCACUGGACCCGGCGGAAUAAAAAAUGGGGCUUGAAUAGCCGUUGGACCUGGCAGAAUAGAAAAUGAGGCUUAAUUGGCCGCUGGACCCGGCGAAAUAGAAAAAUGGGCCUGAACGUCCUGACUUGUCGCAAGGAAAUGAGACCCUAUGGUUAUAUUGACUUAUUGUAUUGUAUAUUGUUUGUCUAAUAUGUUUGCUGGAGAUAUGAUGAUUGUUGAGAUUGUCUAAAGACGUUCUGUGAAAGCCCUGUUGUUACUAGAGUUUGAUAUGUCAGGUGAUUGUAUUGUGAAGUUCUAUGGAAUUUUAAUGAAUGGAUAUUUGAUAUUUAUAUGAUAUUUGAUAUUAGAGAAA